AGCAGACUCUUCCUGGGCCACGCCCCACCUCAGCCUGCCUAAUCACACAGAGCUUCAAUGACUUGGAGAAGACUGAAGGCCCCAGGCAAGAACUAGGCUGUGCCACCUUAUACGUCACACACCCUCCUCACAGUCUGUGCUGACAUAACACAACUACCCCACCCACCCAUUCUGGUUCUUUGCUCAGGAUCUCAAGGCCUUGGCGAGGGGGAAACUGUCUCCUCCACUGUUGUACCAUCUGCAGCAUCUGUGCCUAGGCCACAAGCCAGCGCUAAGAAUGGUCUCCAAGCAACAACAACAAAAAUCCCUCUUAGGGGUUAAGAAAAGGAAUGUGUGGUGCAGAAAUCCUUAAGCCUUAUUGAGGCAGUAAGUCAGUUUGAAGCUUCAAAGAGAUUUUGCAACUGGUCGGCAGAUCCACCCGUUCCCUCUCCAGGUGUGGCUAAUGGAAACACUUUCAUCUAGCAACUAGUGUGUUCACAGCCCAAGUCUCACACAGCCUAACCCAGCACUGCAACAUGAAGGCAACUAACUAGUCUGUUCCAAUCUCAAGCCCUUUGGAUGGUCUUUUGCUUCCUCCACAUUUCCGCAACUGACAUAUACAUAAUUUGUGCUGCCAUAACAAAUUUAAGUAAAGGAGGAAGAAAAACGUAUCACAGGAAAACCACACCUUUGGAGUCACAAAGCAGCUCAUUGACCUGCUAUUCUUGUAUAGUACAUAAACACAGAGGUGUAGUACCUCUCUAGGACUUUGACAAUUGCUGUCCAAAGUCACACUGGUGUUAUAACCACUUUGCAAAGUUCUACAAAGCUGGGAAGUUCAAGGCUGAUAGACUUCCGAUACUACAAGAAGUCAAGUUAAGAGCUAUGUAGCUAACAGGGUAAUAGCAGCCUGGGUAGGAGUCCUCCUACAGAUACCCGUGGAUAAUUAACAGUAGUAGACACUCAAGAGCUGGUUAACACUAGGUACAGGACAAAUUUGGCUGGGAAUUAGUUAAAGGAAAUGCUCCAAGGUAGAAGGCCCAGGAACAAAGUGACAAAAAUAUGAAAGAAACAUCAGCAUUGUUGGUGGAGACGUCAAAAGACUUUGCCUGGCUUAUCAGUGAUGCUUUUUAAAAAAAUGUCCAUUGACCUGUAGGUAGUCUGCGCAACAGGGGGCUCUGUGGUCUCAGCAUCUCUACUGAGGUCGGGGGAAGACUCUAGUCUAAACUGUAGGAAAGACUUUUGACACUUUGUGUCAUCAACAUUUAAGAGA